ensembl:lncRNA
GUUGCUUUGAGCUGACGCUAUGCAGAUUAUUGUAAAAUCCACAUUGUCUCCUCAGAGUUAUAGCUGUGACUUUUAAGAACUCUUAAGCUACUUUGUUUCCCAGAUGCCGAAAAUCCCGGUGACGUUGUCCUCUCAUAUCUCUGUGCAUGCGUAUGAGCACAGUGACGUCUGCAGCCACUGAGUGUGUUUGGAACUGACCAGUGAGUAGAGAAGAGGAAGGUGGCAAAGGAAAGGGAUGUGAAGGGAAGUGUUCUGGGAAGACAACUUGAAGGGGCUUGAGAAGAGACACCUGCAUGUUCUGCAUGUCAUCUUCUACAACUCCUCCUCAAGUCGUAGAGCUUUCAUGGAAUGGACACUGAGAAGAAAGGGAUGCGCGAAACGAGAUGGCAUGUGAGAAAUAGAAACAGAGACAUUGCACAAAUUACUGUUCUUGCUUUGCCAUUAGGUCAUGUUGCUGGAAUUGAAGUGGUGAGGAGCCAACAAGCAAGACUGUUCUUGGUGACCAUGAGAUCCUACAACUUCCUCUUUGCAGCUUUGAUAGCAGUGGUGAAUGCCCACGUUCACACAGGAGCAUAGAGGUAAUUUGGGCUGCCGUUUUUCUCCAGCGGGGGCCCCUGUGCGCACCGCUGCGAUCCUGUCAGACAAUGAGGGGCUGAAGUCACAGUGAGUCUCAGGUCUCCAAGCUCCUGCCAGCGGGACUCUAGCCCAGCCAUUCUCAUCCUUGUGACAACCAGAGAAUGGAGUUUUUGACCCAGAAUUCUAAGCUAUAUAUGCUAUUACAAAAGGCCAGGUCACUGCAUCUGGAGAGGGCAAGCAUAUUUCCCUAUGGUUCCUCUUCCUACAGGCACAUGGCUUUGAUGUAUAGAUGUACAGUUUGGAGAUAGAGUUUUCCUGUGUGUAAGAAAAUGGGAGGCAUAAUCUGAUUCGCUUCUCAGAAACUAUGCUUAAAUGAAUAUGCAAAUGCAAGUUAAGCUUAAUUGACAGCACUUGUGGAAUUAAUGCUGAUCACCACAAAAUGUUUUUUCACUUGCCCCUUUUCUUUUUACUUUGAGGCACUUAGAAAUAAAUAGGACCGAUCUGUAAUUGUCAAAUACUCAUUGUUUAGCCACAAGACGUACACUGUGUUAACAUGAUUUUACCGUGACAAAAUGACUUUUUUAUGCAGUCAUGACAGCUUUAUGGCACAAAUAGUGCUCAUGUUUUCAAAGAAGAAUUAAUGCAUUUUUAUUAAAAUUAUAAGUUCCAGGUUUCUGCUUUUGGCUUAAAAAAUUGGUCCCAUUUACUUUCUAUUGUAAAUGCCUCACUGUAAACUGGAAAUUUGGUACAAGUUGGAAUACAUUUUUUAUUUAUUUUUUUUGGCAAUCGAUAUUAUGCCACAAAUGUUGUCGAUUAAGAUGAACUUGUAUCAAACCUGGAAUAUUUCCGGUAAACUUUAUUUUACAGUGUCCUUGUUACAAUUUACAUGUAUUUACAAAAGAAAAAACAGUAAAUUUAAAAUACAUAAUUAGAUCCAGCUAACCCUAAACCGAACCCUAGACAUAUUAAGCACAUGUUGUUAAUUAAUAUUAUUCAGUAUACUUCAAAAACACUUUAAAAUAAAGAGUAACCAUAUUUCUCUAAGAAGUGGUUUUGUUUGUUUGUUUAUUUGCAUGAAUGUAAAAAUGAUAAGAUAUGACCAUGCCAGAAGGAAAUGAAGACUGUACUGAAAGAACAUCACAUUCAGUGUUAUUACAUCACAUAAUGCAGACUAGUCAUGUGUAAUCAUAAUCACUAUGUCAUUAUGUUACCUCUUAUCACUGACUCUCUGCAUUUGUCGUCCUUCGUGAUGAUACUAAAUGUUUGGUGAAACAUAAUGUGUAGCUUAAGAAAAUAGUUCUCCAGACAUGACAAGUGAUAAUGCUGUGGGUCCUUAUUCAUUUGCUCCCCUCCCUUCUCCCUCUUUUUGUCCAGCUGCUUCAUAUCAGCAUGCAGACUUAAGCAGUUUGGGCAUUGAGUUAUCUUUUUCAAUUUCUCUCACAGCUGAGAAUGAUUAGGUCACCAUGUUGUCCUUAUGUUUGACACGAGAAGAUAUGUGAGGAGGUGGGUCAGGCAGCCGUAAUGCAAUGCCACAAUGGCUCAGAUCAACAAUAUAACCACUUUUCUUAAACCAUCUGUCACAUUUCAUAUUAAUCAAAGUUUGUCUAUUUCCAUCUGGAUGCCCAAUCCCACACGUUUUUCCAAGUAUUCACCAUGGUCAGUGUCAAUGUAAAAUGCUCUCUCAUUUCACAAUGAGAAUGAUUCAGUGCAGCCGUUCUUGGUCAAAAGCACAUCUAAACAAACAACUUUUAGGAAGAGCAGGGAAGUUUUACGAACACAGAUGGGCUUUGUUACAAAAUGGCAUGGAGCCAACCUUUAACAUGUUUCAUCAGUCCAUCUCUCCAGUGUAAUCUAUGUUUGUGACUCUUGAUGGAUCCCUGCUUUGCUUAAUCUGUAGUGUUCCCAUUCCAUGGAGCAGUAUAAAAUUUGUAAAGUGCUUGGAUUUGGAUAAGACCCCAAGCAGCUGCUCUAGAUCUUGGAAAGUGUCCAUGUUCAGUUUAGCACAGUCAGCACUCUGACCUGCCUAUGCAUUUUAUAUUUUCCGUGUUCAAGUGCUAUAAUCGGGUCCCUGGUGCAUCUACCAACCCAGAAAAGGUGAAAAAUGACAACCCAGUAACUUUGAUUUGGUAAGCCUUUUCUCUGCAAGCAUGUGAAAAAACGAGCUGCUCAGAUUUCGCUUCCCUAGUGAUGUAGAAAGCAGAUCAUAUUAUGAUAUCACCGCCCCUUAAUCUGCACGUUUCUACCCACGGCCCUGUUGAUACUAAAUAUACAGAUCUAGUAUAAACGUGAUUUCUUUCCCAGUUUUUUACCUUCACAGACAUAACCGACUUUAUUUGCAACUUAUGUGUUUUUAACAUAAAACUGUGUGCAUUUGACAGUUUAAGCACAAUAAGACAUGAAAGAGAACUUAGUUUAAUACUCACAUGCUGUGUGACAGCCGGUUUCUGUGCGUGUGCUUCGGAUGUGUGCGCUCAGAAAACCGCAUAUCAGAAGUUCAAACUGAUAUGGCUUUAAAAUGCAUAAUUUCAGCUCAAUAUACAUGAUAAUCCAAACCAAACAGAUGAUUUUUGGCAGAGUAUUUGAGGUGCAAGCUAUAAAGUCACUGCCCCAUUCUGGAAAAGGUGGCAGUGAGGAGCAGAAGCUCAUUAGCAUUUAAAGAUAGACCUAAAGGCAAGACAAAAAGUGUUUCUGCUUCCA